AUUGAACGCUGGCGGCAUGCCUUACACAUGCAAGUCGAACGGCAGCACGGGUGCUUGCACCUGGUGGCGAGUGGCGAACGGGUGUGUAAUACAUCGGAACAUGUCCUGUAGUGGGGGAUAGCCCGGCGAAAGCCGGAUUAAUACCGCAUACGAUCUACGGAUGAAAGCGGGGGACCUUCGGGCCUCGCGCUAUAGGGUUGGCCGAUGGCUGAUUAGCUAGUUGGUGGGGUAAAGGCCUACCAAGGCGACGAUCAGUAGCUGGUCUGAGAGGACGACCAGCCACACUGGGACUGAGACACGGCCCAGACUCCUACGGGAGGCAGCAGUGGGGAAUUUUGGACAAUGGGCGAAAGCCUGAUCCAGCAAUGCCGCGUGUGUGAAGAAGGCCUUCGGGUUGUAAAGCACUUUUGUCCGGAAAGAAAUCCUUGGCCCUAAUACGGUCGGGGGAUGACGGUACCGGAAGAAUAAGCACCGGCUAACUACGUG
rnacentral:rRNA from 1 species